rnacentral:rRNA from 1 species
CUUGACAUACCAUUGACAGGUGUAGAGAUACACUCUCCUUCGGGCGAAUGGAUACAGGUGGUGCAUGGUUGUCGUCAGCUCGUGCCGUGAGGUGUUGGGUUAAGUCCCGCAACGAGCGCAACCCUCAUUGUUAGUUACUACCAUUCAGUUGAGGACUCUAAUGAGACUGCCAACGACAAGUUGGAGGAAGGUGGGGAUGACGUCAAAUCAUCAUGCCCUUUAUGACCUGGGCUACAAACGUACUACAAUGGCCAAUACAAAGAGAUGCGAAGCGGUGACGUGAAGCGAACCUCAGAAAGUUGGUCUCAGUUCAGAUUGAAGUCUGCAACUCGACUUCAUGAAGGCGGAAUCGCUAGUAAUCGCGGGUCAGCAGACCGCGGUGAAUACGUUCCCGGGUUUU